AGGAUGAACGCUAGCGGCAGGCUUAAUACAUGCAAGUCGUGGGGCAGCAGGUCCCGUAGCAAUACGGGAUGCUGGCGACCGGCAAACGGGUGCGGAACACGUACACAACCUUCCUUUAAGUGGGGAAUAGCCCGGGGAAACCCGGAUUAAUACCCCGUAACAUUAUGAUGUGGCAUCACAUUAUAAUUAUAGCAUUUAUGCGCUUAAUGAUGGGUGUGCGCUGAUUAGGUAGUUGGCGGGGUAACGCCCACCAAGCCUACGAUCAGUAACUGGUGUGAGAGCACGACCAGUCACACGGGCACUGAGACACGGG
rnacentral:rRNA from 1 species